AUGCAAUCACACUUAUGGUCAAUUUUGAGCCAGAAUUCCUCACAAAUAUACUUUAACAAGUAUUCCGUACAAAAAACAUAUUACAAGAACUGCAGCUUAGAAGUUGUUCACAUUCUGCUGAACUAUGCUCACUCUGUGACACACGGAGCUAGCUUGUUGUCCAUCUGCAUAUCAUCGUCACCCUCUAUCACUGUAGUUUUCGAUCUCUUAUGGUCAAGCUCAACAUCAUCUUCACGUGUGUACUUUAGCCACUCAACAGAAACUCCGGUAGCUCACAACAUACAUUUGAUGAUGAGGCCAAACCAAAGAUGCCCUGUGUUGGAUGUAAAUUAG
rnacentral:rRNA from 1 species